rnacentral:rRNA from 1 species
CGUAUUAGCAGAUGACUAGUGCUACGUAUCAGUCUAACACGAUAAGGAGCUUGCUCCUUUGACGUUAGCGGCGGACGGGUGAGUAACACGUGGGUAACCUACCUAUAAGACUGGAAUAACUCCGGGAAACCGGGGCUAAUGCCGGAUAACAUAUAGAACCGCAUGGUUCUAUAGUGAAAGAUGGUUUUGCUAUCACUUAUAGAUGGACCCGCGCCGUAUUAGCUAGUUGGUAAGGUAAUGGCUUACCAAGGCAACGAUACGUAGCCGACCUGAGAGGGUGAUCGGCCACACUGGAACUGAGACACGGUCCAGACUCCUACGGGAGGCAGCAGUAGGGAAUCUUCCGCAAUGGGCGAAAGCCUGACGGAGCAACGCCGCGUGAGUGAUGAAGGGUGCCGGCUCGUAAAACUCCGGUAUAGGAGAACAUUGUGUAAGUAACUGUGCACAUCUUGACGUAACUAAUCAGAAAGCCCGCCUACUACGUGCAGCAGCCCGGUAAUACGUAGUGCAAGCGUUAUCCCGAAUUAUUGGGCGUAAAGCGCGCGUAGGCGGUUUCUUAAGUCUGAUGUGAAAGCCCACGGCUCAACCGUGGAGGGUCAUUGGAAACUGGGAAACUUGAGUGCAGAAGAGAAAGUGGAAUUCCAUGUGUAGCGGUGAAAUGCGCAGAGAUAUGGAGGAACACCAGUGGCGAAGGCGACUUUCUGGUCUGUAACUGACGCUGAUGUGCGAAAGCGUGGGGAUCAAACAGGAUUAGAUACCCUGGUAGUCCACGCCGUAAACGAUGAGUGCUAAGUGUUAGGGGGUUUCCGCCCCUUAGUGCUGCAGCUAACGCAUUAAGCACUCCGCCUGGGGAGUACGACCGCAAGGUGAAACUCAAAGGAAUUGACGGGGACCCGCACAAGCGGUGGAGCAUGUGAUUAGUCGAGCAACGCGAGACUAACAAAUCUGACAUCUUGACCACUCUAGAGAUAGAGCUUCCCUCGGGACAAGGACAGUGGUGCAUGGUUGCUCAGUCGGUCUGGAAGUGGUAAGUCCCACAAAGACACCAACCCUUAAGCUUAGUUGCCAUCAUUAAGUUGGGCACUCUAGGUUGACUGCCGGUGACAAACCGGAGGAAGGUGGGGAUGACGUCAAAUCAUCAUGCCCCUUAUGAUUUGGGCUACACACGUGCUACAAUGGACAAUACAAAGGGCAGCUAAACCGCGAGGUCAUGCAAAUCCCAUAAAGUUGUUCUCAGUUCGGAUUGUAGUCUGCAACUCGACUACAUGAAGCUGGAAUCGCUAGUAAUCGUAGAUCAGCAUGCUACGGUGAAUACGUUCCCGGGUCUUGUACACACCGCCCGUCACACCACGAGAGUUUGUAACACCCGAAGCCGGUGGAGUAACCAGUAUACGGAGGUAGCCGUGCGUAAAGUAGUAGC